CGCGCGAUACAGGGUGACAGCCCCGUACACAAAAAUGCACAUGCUGUGAGCUCGAUGAGUAGGGCGGGACACGUGGUAUCCUGUCUGAAUAUGGGGGGACCAUCCUCCAAGGCUAAAUACUCCUGACUGACCGAUAGUGAACCAGUACCGUGAGGGAAAGGCGAAAAGAACCCCGGCGAGGGGAGUGAAAAAGAACCUGAAACCGUGUACGUACAAGCAGUGGGAGCACAGAGCAAUCUGUGUGACUGCGUACCUUUUGUAUAAUGGGUCAGCGACUUAUAUUCUGUAGCAAGGUUAACCGAAUAGGGGAGCCGAAGGGAAACCGAGUCUUAACUGGGCGUUAAGUUGCAGGGUAUAGACCCGAAACCCGGUGAUCUAGCCAUGGGCAGGUUGAAGGUUGGGUAACACUAACUGGAGGACCGAACCGACUAAUGUUGAAAAAUUAGCGGAUGACUUGUGGCUGGGGGUGAAAGGCCAAUCAAACCGGGAGAUAGCUGGUUCUCCCCGAAAGCUAUUUAGGUAGCGCCUCGUGAAUUCAUCUCCGGGGGUAGAGCACUGUUUCGGCAAGGGGGUCAUCCCGACUUACCAACCCGAUGCAAACUGCGAAUACCGGAGAAUGUUAUCACGGGAGACACACGGCGGGUGCUAACGUCCGUCGUGAAGAGGGAAACAACCCAGACCGCCAGCUAAGGUCCCAAAGUCAUGGUUAAGUGGGAAACGAUGUGGGAAGGCCCAGACAGCCAGGAUGUUGGCUUAGAAGCAGCCAUCAUUUAAAGAAAGCGUAAUAGCUCACUGGUCGAGUCGGCCUGCGCGGAAGAUGUAACGGGGCUAAACCAUGCACCGAAGCUGCGGCAGCGACGCUGAUGCGUUGUUGGGUAGGGGAGCGUUCUGUAAGCCUGUGAAGGUGUGCUGUGAGGCAUGCUGGAGGUAUCAGAAGUGCGAAUGCUGACAUAAGUAACGAUAAAGCGGGUGAAAAGCCCGCUCGCCGGAAGACCAAGGGUUCCUGUCCAACGUUAAUCGGGGCAGGGUGAGUCGACCCCUAAGGCGAGGCCGAAAGGCGUAGUCGAUGGGAAACAGGUUAAUAUUCCUGUACUUGGUGUUACUGCGAAGGGGGGACGGAGAAGGCUAUGUUGGCCGGGCGACGGUUGUCCCGGUUUAAGCGUGUAGGCUGGUUUUCCAGGCAAAUCCGGAAAAUCAAGGCUGAGGCGUGAUGACGAGGCACUACGGUGCUGAAGCAACAAAUGCCCUGCUUCCAGGAAAAGCCUCUAAGCAUCAGGUAACAUCAAAUCGUACCCCAAACCGACACAGGUGGUCAGGUAGAGAAUACCAAGGCGCUUGAGAGAACUCGGGUGAAGGAACUAGGCAAAAUGGUGCCGUAACUUCGGGAGAAGGCACGCUGAUAUGUAGGUGAAGUCCCUCGCGGAUGGAGCUGAAAUCAGUCGAAGAUACCAGCUGGCUGCAACUGUUUAUUAAAAACACAGCACUGUGCAAACACGAAAGUGGACGUAUACGGUGUGACGCCUGCCCGGUGCCGGAAGGUUAAUUGAUGGGGUCAGCGCAAGCGAAGCUCUUGAUCGAAGCCCCGGUAAACGGCGGCCGUAACUAUAACGGUCCUAAGGUAGCGAAAUUCCUUGUCGGGUAAGUUCCGACCUGCACGAAUGGCGUAAUGAUGGCCAGGCUGUCUCCACCCGAGACUCAGUGAAAUUGAACUCGCUGUGAAGAUGCAGUGUACCCGCGGCAAGACGGAAAGACCCCGUGAACCUUUACUAUAGCUUGACACUGAACAUUGAGCCUUGAUGUGUAGGAUAGGUGGGAGGCUUUGAAGUGUGGACGCCAGUCUGCAUGGAGCCGGCCUUGAAAUACCACCCUUUAAUGUUUGAUGUUCUAACGUUGACCCGUUAUCCGGGUUGCGGACAGUGUCUGGUGGGUAGUUUGACUGGGGCGGUCUCCUCCUAAAGAGUAACGGAGGAGCACGAAGGUUGGCUAAUCCUGGUCGGACAUCAGGAGGUUAGUGCAAUGGCAUAAGCCAGCUUGACUGCGAGCGUGACGGCGCGAGCAGGUGCGAAAGCAGGUCAUAGUGAUCCGGUGGUUCUGAAUGGAAGGGCCAUCGCUCAACGGAUAAAAGGUACUCCGGGGAUAACAGGCUGAUACCGCCCAAGAGUUCAUAUCGACGGCGGUGUUUGGCACCUCGAUGUCGGCUCAUCACAUCCUGGGGCUGAAGUAGGUCCCAAGGGUAUGGCUGUUCGCCAUUUAAAGUGGU
rnacentral:rRNA from 1 species